GCAGUGAUGAAUCUUGUGGCACUGAUCAGCUGAUGUGAUGUCGCUUUCAUUGUCCUCUAAGAAGUUCUGAGCAG
rnacentral:snoRNA from 1 species